CACGUAGGGGCAAGCGUUGUCCGGAUUUAUUGGGCGUAAAGAGCUCGUAGGCGGUUCGAUAAGUCGGGUGUGAAACCUCCAGGCUCAACCUGGAGACGCCACCCGAUACUGUCGUGACUAGAGUCCAGUAGGGGAGCGUGGAAUUCCUGGUGUAGCGGUGAAAUGCGCAGAUAUCAGGAGGAACACCAGCGGCGAAGGCGGCGCUCUGGGCUGGCACUGACGCUGAGGAGCGAAAGCGUGGGUAGCGAACAGG
rnacentral:rRNA from 1 species